UUUGUACGGUACUACGUGUGGUCGAAAUUAUAUGUAUCGUCAGUACAAGGAAAGUUGUAAUCUCAAAUCGCAGUAAGACAAUUGCUCUCUCACGCUUCUCGAUUUAUAAAAUGUAGGUUUUUGGAAUAUUUUAGUACACUAGUUUGCGUGUGCAACUGCGUGUGUAAUCUGUGAGACAAUGUGAAAAAUAGUGUAAUACAAAGCCUUACAAACAGACGUGGUGACACACUCAAAAAAUUACACACUGCCCGCGAUUUUGAUGGCAGAUGGAUCGAAAUGGUACUUGGAAUGACCCAGUGGGCAAAAAAGGAGACGACGCCCACCGGAAAUCUGGGAACAUGAAAUAAAAAAGACAAGAUAAAGAGAAAAUAUUAUAAAAUAGAAGAUGAGAGACGAGUAGAAGAAUUUGGAGGAGGCCUUGAACUUCUUUUGGAGGUCGUGCACUAGAAUCGAAUAUCAUUAGGACAUAAAUUAAUUAACUUAAAUUAUACUACCUACUGGAAUAAAGGCUGUUUUCACUUU